rnacentral:rRNA from 1 species
AUUGAACGCUGGCGGCAGGCCUAACACAUGCAAGUCGAACGAGUGGCGGACGGGUGAGUAAUGUCUGGGAAACUGCCCGAUGGAGGGGGAUAAAUUGUGGAAACGAUCUCUAAUACCGUAUACUAUGAUAUGAACCUAGGUGGGAUUAGCUUGUGGGAGGGGAAAAGGCAGACCAAGGCGAAGAUCCGUAACUGGUCGGAGAGGAUGAACAGUCACACUGGAACUGAGACACGGUCCAGACUCGUACGGGAGGAAGCAUGGGGGAAUAUUGGACAAUGGGCGAAAGCCUGAUCCAGCCAUGCCGCGUGUAUGAAGAAGGCCUUCGGGUUGUAAAGUACUUUCAGCGGGGAGGCGUUACCCGCAGAAGAAGCACCGGCUAACUCCGUGCCAGCAGCCGCGGUAAUUC